UGGGGAAUAUUGGUCAAUGGGCGCAAGCCUGACCUAGCCAUGCCGCGUGUGUGAAGAAGGCCUUUUGGUUGUAAAGCACUUUAAUCGAGGAGGAGGCUACUUGGAUUAAUACUAUAGGAUAGUGGACGUUACUCGCAGAAUAAGCACCGGCUAACUCUGUGCCAGCAGCCGCGGUAAUACAGAGGGGGCGAGCGUUAAUCGGAUUUACUGGGCGUAAAGCGUGCGUAGGCGGCUUUUUAAGUCGGAUGUGAAAUCCCUGAGCUUAACUUAGGAAUUGCAUUCGAUACGGGGAAGCUAGAGUAUGGGAGAGGAUGGUAGAAUUCCAGGUGUAGCGGUGAAAUGCGUAGAGAUCUGGAGGAAUACCGAUGGCGAAUGCAGCCAUCUGGCCUAAUACUGACGCUGAGGUACGAAAGCAUGGGGAGCAAACAGG
rnacentral:rRNA from 1 species